rnacentral:rRNA from 1 species
AUUCCUCAGUAGCGGCGAGCGAACAGGGAACAGUCCAGCACCGAACCUCGCGCUCCGUGAAGGGCGCCGAGGAAUGUGGUGUUCGGGAGGAUCGUGCGCGUCUGUCCGGCAUUUUAUCGUCCAAGUCUCCAUGAACGGGGCUAUCAACCCACAGAGGGUGUCAGGCCCGUAGGCUGGCGAGCCGAGACCGUGUACCGGAUCUUUUUUUCCCAAGAGUCGGGUUGCUUGAGCGUGCAGCCCAAAGCGGGAGGUAAACUCCUUCUAAGACUAAAUAUCGCCACGAGACCGAUAGCGAACAAGUACCGCGAGGGAAAGUUGAAAAGAACUUUGAAGAGAGAGUUCAAGAGUGCGUGAAACCGUUCAGGGGGUUAAACGGGUGAGUCCUCGAAGGUCGAAGGAUCCCUCCUCCCGUCGUGCGGCGUGCCGGGUCCGGGCUUUUUUUGGUGAUCUCUUUCGCGAUUUCGGUCGCGUUAAAAGGACGCCGGGUCUGGAUCGUCACGAGGGCGCCGCCGGCCGCAAGUGAGGGGUCUGGUAGGACUCCGCAACCGGCUGGGGAAAUUUUUUUUUUUCUUUGUUUCCGUCAGAAGGGUCGUCGGUAACGAGACGAGCAUAUCGAGGAUUUAAUCGUCUUCGGUUGUUCGUUCUCGUCCGGCGGUUCCGGACGGUACACCCGGCCGUUUUAACCUUUUGUGUGUCUCCCCUUCGAGGGAGGCACACACAGCGGAGAGUAACCGAGUCGGAACUCACCCGACCCGUCUUGAAACACGGACCAAGGAGUCUAACAUGUGCGCGAGUCGUCGAGUCGCAAAACGAAACUCGAGAGGCGAAAUGAAAGUAAGGUUGGCCCCCGAUGAGGGUGUCGCACGAAGGGAGAUGCCGUCUCUCGAUAUCCAGAAACGGAGCGGCCGCAUCCCUUGGGCGUCCGAAGCCGUGAAGGUUCGGCAGCGGGCUCGUCUCGCUGUUUGUUCCGGUCGGCCGGACGGACCGAGAGCGUACACGUUGGGACCCGAAAGAUGGUGACCUAUGCCUGGCCAGGACGAAGCCAGGGAAACCCUGGUGAGGCCG